rnacentral:rRNA from 1 species
UGAAUACGAGACGCUAAGGCGUCGAAGUAGUGUAUAUCAGACUUCCAAGAAAAGCUUGCACUGUCAUAGAUAAAAAAUGCCUGUACCAUAACCGACACAGGUGGGUAGGUAGAGUAUACUAAGGGGCGCGAGAUAACUCUCUCUAAGGAACUCGGCAAAAUAACUCCGUAACUUCGGGAGAAGGAGUGCCUUAUUUAUAAGGUUGCAAUAACAAGAUCCAAGCAACUGUUUAUCAAAAACACAGGUCUCCGCUAAGUCGUAAGACGAUGUAUGGGGGCUGACGCCUGCCCAGUGCCAGAAGGUUAAAGAAGUUGGUUAGCAAUUGCGAAGCUGAUAACUGAAGCCCUGGUGAACGGCGGCCGUAACUAUAACGGUCCUAAGGUAGCGAAAUUCCUUGUCGGGUAAGUUCCGACCCGCACGAAAGGCGUAAUGAUUUGGAUACUGUCUCGGAGAGGGGCUCGGUGAAAUAGACUUGUCUGUGAAGAUGCGGACUACCUGCACCAGGACAGAAAGACCCUAUGAAGCUUUACUGUAACUUGGAAUUGAAAUUGGACUUUAUUCGCGCAGCAUAGGUGGGAGGCGUUGAUUAUAAUCUUGCGGGAUUAUUGGAGCCAACUGAGAUACCACUCUUGUAAUGUUAGAUUUCUAACUUUGAAUCAUUAUCUGGUCAAAGAACAGUUUCAGGCGGGCAGUUUGACUGGGGCGGUCGCCUCCUAAAUGGUAACGGAGGCGUACAAAGGUUUCCUCUGAACGGUUAGAAAUCGUAUCUAGAGUGUAAAGGCAUAAGGAAGCUUGACUGUGAGACCUACAAGUCGAGCAGGGACGAAAGUCGGUCUUAGUGAUCUGACGGUACUGAGUGGAAAGGCCGUCACUCAACGGAUAAAAGUUACUCUAAGGAUAACAGGCUGAUCUCCCCCAAGAGUUCACAUCGACGGGGAGGUUUGGCACCUCGAUGUCGGCUCAUCGCAUCCUGGGGCGGUAGUACGUCCCUAGGGUUGGGCUGUUCGCCCAUGAAAGCGGUACGCGAGCUGGGUUCAGAACGUCGUGAGACAGUUCGGUCCAUAUCCGGUGUAGGCGUUAGAAUAUUGAGAGGAGCCUUCUUUAGUACGAGAGGACCGAGAAGGACAUACCUCUGGUGUACCAGUUAUCGUGCCAACGGUAAACGCUGGGUAGCUAUGUAUGGAGUGGAUAACCGCUGAAAGCAUCCAAGUGGGAAGCCCACCUCAAGAUAAGUAUUCUCAU